ACUAAACCAUCAAAACCAAACAACCCUAACCAAAUGACCCCUCUUCUCUCUAACCAAAAUCCCUAAUGUCCCAUCGCCGCCAGCUCCACCGUCGGACCGCUGGAUCGAAGCGGUCCUCAACACCACCGCCAUCACGUCCCAUUAAUCCCCUCUCCCUCUCUAUGAGAUUAUGGAGCCAUUAAUGCUCUGUAAACUAGCUUGUUCAACUUCCAAAUAGGGAAAAUGUGAGAAUCUUGUGAAUACAAGGAUGAUUCAAUGGAUAAAAGCCUCACCCCACCUUCAGAGCUCAGUUUGCUGAGAAACCUUUCGGAUUUUUGUCCGAAUGACUCUUUCCUUUCGCUUCAUCUCUGAAAAAGGUGAGAACCCAUCCCUCAUGUCAUAACUUCAUUUUUGAAUCUCCAUAAUUUCCCCCCAUGUUUUAAUUUGGCGUUAAAGCUUCUCAAGGAAGCUGUCAUAUCCCCUAAUCUCCGCUAUAAAUACAACUAUCCAUGAACUAUUUUACGACAGGUUGAACAACCACAAAAAAAAAAUCCCUUUUAUUUUUCACAAGGUUUCCCCUCUUAUAAAAUUUCUAUUCCUUUAAAACUUGGGGUUCUCAGAAAAAUCCUUUUUUAACUCGAUAAGUCCUUUGGUUAUCAAAAUCUUCUUUCAAGUUCUCGGCUAGGCAAAAACCACUUCGAGCGGAUUCGAAGACUUGACAACGACAAUAGCCUCAGUUCGCUGUCCCGGAGAAGAUCAAAGUUGAAAGGGUUGAAGAACAUUGUAUUACGCUCAAAGGCUGGAAUUAAGACAACGAUAUACAGGUUGACGACUCAGCUCUUUAGGAGUGCACGUAUCAGCUACUGGUGAGCCCCAAAUUCGGGCGUUAUCAGCUAUCUAGUUAUUUCAGUUUAUAGACAACUCUAUUAUUCAGUAUUCUUAGAGGCUUCAUAGACACAAUUCAGACAGUCAGAUAUUUAUUAUGUUAGCCUUGUUGGCAGUUGUUCAAUUGUUUUGUUUUAAGCCAUGUUGGCUACGUUCAGAUAUUUCAGAUUGUCUAAGUAUGUUUGCAUUAUGAUUUCAGUCAGACCUUUAGUAUAUCAACAUGUGUUUAGUUGUUUCCGCAUUCAGUUAUGUUUUUGAUAUCACAUGUUGAUUCAGCCAGCCAGUUGGUUCGCUCGGUCACAUGCAGUCAGGCACCGAGUGCCGUGUUACGUCCAGGCCCAAGUUCAGGGCGUGACAACUUUUACCAUUGGAAAUCUCCCUAUAGAUUAAUCAAGUUUCUGGGAGUAGUUAGGUUUUGUUAGUUUAAUUUAUUUAUCAUGACACAUUGCAUUCAACGAUUAAUUACUUCAUUCCUAUUUGUUAAAAUUAGCCUACUGUUUUCAUUCUUCAAGAGUAUUAAUUAAAUUAAAAAUAGAAAUGUACUUUUUUGGAACCUUUUGAAUAUCUGUUUCUUCUCCUAUAGUAUGCUAAUGGAAACUAUGAUCCUGAGUCUUCCUUUAAAGCUUAGUGAUAUGUGUCCAGAAAUUUUUUGCAAAAACUUGGCUGGAUACUGUGGCACUAACUAUAGAAAUUUCUAUAGAUUAGAGUAGAUGCACACGAUAUUCUUGGGGUUCGGAACCUUAUUCCUUAUCUCCCUCUAAAAAAGUGAUGCUGUUUAGAGUAUUUCCUUCAGAUAUCCUAGAGGAGUGUUUUCUGUGUACAUUCUGAAAGAGUACUUCCUUUCCAUAAUGUAAAAACGUGCUUUUGGAAUUAAAAAAAAAAGAUCUUUCUUUUAAUGUGAAUGGAAGAGUACUGUCUGUUCACGCUGUAGAAGUCUCGCUUCAGCUGCUCCAGUUUAAUUAUUAGUGCUAUACAUAGUUAUAGAAUAUAUUGGCAUGUGGCUGGUCUUAAUUACAUCUCUUUAGCAAUAAUCUAAUUGUUGAAUCAAUUGGGACCUGUAAUAAUUUUUAACAGAAAUAAUAUGUUUGGUCCUCGAGUUGUUUUGUUGCUGGUCAUGAACACAUUGUAUCAGAAGCACAUUUCAAAGUAUUGCAACGUGAUGUUAGGAGUGGAAUGUUACUUCUUUUAGAAUUAAUUCAAAAUAAAUACUUGUAUUGUCUUGAUAAUUACCUUCGUUUAACAUGACUUCAUCUCUAGCCAUGAAUAUUAGUAUCUUCAUAUUUUUACUACUGCAUACUUAUUCUUCCUUUUGUUCCUUCUAUUUACAUGUACCCAUGGGAGCAUUUCGAGUUAUUGUAAAUCAACUCCAAUUAUGCCUAGAAGCACAAAACCAUUAGUGGUGGCGUCGGGUGCUCGUGUCUAGCCGUCCCCGAUUUUCUCUCGUGUCUAAGUGUCGACGUCUUCUUUCCUUUUUAUAUCUUUAUAUUGAUGUGUCGUUUACAUAUUUUACUAACAUUUUGUGAGUUUUGUAUUUGCAGUAUUUAGUUCUUGUUUUGGGCGUGAACUCUCAAGAAUGGUUUAGAGGAAUAGUUUGCUUAA